GACGAACGCUGGCGGCGUGCUUAACACAUGCAAGUCGAACGAAGUGGCGAACGGGUGAGUAAUACGUGGGUAACCUGCCCUCCUUUUUGGGAUAAGCCUUGGAAACGGGGUCUAAUACCGAAUAAAGGGGGAUGGGCUCGGGGCCUAUCAGGUUGGGGGUGGGGUGAUGGUCUACCAAGGCGGUGACGGGUAGCCGGCCUGCGAGGGGGACCGUCGAAAUGGGGACUGAGAUACGGCCCAGAGGCAUACGGGAGGCAGAAGUGGGGGAUAUUGGACAAUGGGCGAAAGCCGGAUGCAGGGACGCCGCGUGGGGGAUGAAGGCUUUCGGGUUGUAAACCUCUUACGCUAGCGAAAGGGUAGGUGGAGAAGAAGCGCCGGCUAACUACGGGCCAGCAGCCGCGGUAAUAC
rnacentral:rRNA from 1 species